rnacentral:rRNA from 1 species
AGAGUUUGAUCAUGGCUCAGAACGAACGCUGGCGGCGUGCUUAACACAUGCAAGUCGAACGCGAAAGGGACUUCGGUCCCGAGUAGAGUGGCGCACGGGUGAGUAACGCGUAAGUAAUCUACCCCUGUAUCUGGAAUAACCCACCGAAAGGUGAGCUAAUACCGGAUACGUUUAUCUUGAUGCGAAUGAUGAUAAAGAAAGGUGGCCUCUUCAUGAAAGCUACCGUACAGGGACGAGCUUGCGUACCAUUAGCUGGUUGGUAGGGUAAUGGCCUACCAAGGCGACGAUGGUUAGCGGGUCUGAGAGGAUGAUCCGCCACACUGGAACUGAAACACGGACCAGACUCCUACGGGAGGCAGCAGUGAGGAAUAUUGCGCAAUGGGGGCAACCCUGACGCAGCGACGCCGCGUGGACGAUGAAGGCCCUUGGGUCGUAAAAUCCUGUCAGAUGGAAAGAAAUGUACAGGUGUUAAUAUCGCCUGUAUUUGACGGUACCAUCAAAGGAAGCACCGGCUAACUCCGUGCCAGCAGCCGCGGUAAUACGGAGGGUGCGAGCGUUGUUCGGAAUUACUGGGCGUANAGCGCGCGUAGGCGGUUUGCUAAGUCAGAUGUGAAAGCCCUCGGCUUAACCGGGGACGUGCAUUUGAAACUGGCAGACUUGAGUACUGGAGGGGGUGGUGGAAUUCCCGGUGUAGAGGUGAAAUUCGUAGAUAUCGGGAGGAAUACCGGUG